rnacentral:misc_RNA from 1 species
GAUGAAGAACGCAGCAAAAUGCGAUAAGUAAUGUGAAUUGCAGAAUUCAGUGAAUCAUCGAAUCUUUGAACGCACAUUGCGCCCGCCAGUAUUCUGGCGGGCAUGCCUGUUCGGGCGUCAUUUCAACCCUCAAGCACAGCUUGGUGUUGGGACUCGCGUUAAUUCGCGUUCCUCAAAUUGAUUGGCGGUCACGUCGAGCUUCCAUAGCGUAGUAGUAAAACCCUCGUUACUGGUAAUCGUCGCGGCCACGCCGUUAAACCCCAACUUCUGAAUGUUGACCUCGGAUCAGGUAGGAAUACCCGCUGAACUUAAGCAUAUCAAUAAGCGGAGGA